rnacentral:rRNA from 1 species
UACGGGGGGGGCAAGCGUUGUUCGGAAUUACUGGGCGUAAAGGGCUCGUAGGCGGCCAACUCAGUCGGACGUGAAAUCCCUCGGCUUAACCGGGGAACUGCUUCCGAGACUGGAUGGCUUGAGUGUGGGAGAGGGAUGCGGAAUUCCAGGUGUAGCGGUGAAAUGCGUAGAUAUCUGGAGGAACACCGGUGGCGAAGGCGGCAUCCUGGACUACUACUGACGCUGAGGAGCGAAAGCCAGGGGAGCAAACGGG